GGCAAACUGAUAUUUUCAGUCACUUAUCUGAUAUCUAAUAUCCCAAGGCAUACUUUGAACUACAAUCCAAAAGAAAGGUUGACACAGAAGGCAUUGUAACUUGUAAGGUUGACACUCUUCAAAGCCCAUUAUCUUGAGGUAGGGAACGGGUGUUGGCUUGGCUCUUCUCAACUGUAUCUUCGUUUGAUGAUUUAUCAAAAGUCAAACUAACAAUAGCAAUAGUCAAGGAAAAAUUUAUCAAUUCAAAAAACUAACUAGAGUUAAAAUAAAUCUCACAAAAUAAAACAAAGGAAACAGUCUAGACAGUAGGCAUAUUUCAAAAGUAUCACACAACUAAAGGAAACUUGCAAUUUAUUGUUGAUAUAAGGCGAAGCUUAAGCUAUUAGCCUGGAAGAGUCCAGUUUAUCAGGAGUGUAAUCCAUAGGGCUCUGCAGUUAUUCUGCAACCCAUCUUUUGUCUUAAAAAUAAGAAACUAAACUUUAUUUUGUGUUGAAAAAUGAACAAUAGAGUCCUUAAGUUAUUAAUGAAAACCACAAAAAUUGUGGCCUCUUUGCAAGUUUGAAGUUUCACUUGCUUCCUAUUUUUCAAUUCAUAAUCCUCUUCAAGAAAAAGUCACUGCCUAAAGAAAUGACAUAUCAACUAAAGCAAACCACAAGAUCAAGUAUAAAGAAUAAUGUACCGUAUUUUGGUGAGCCAUGUCAACCGACUGCAUACUUUCAGUGUCUUCAAGUUACACAACAAUGAAGGGAGUUUAGCCUUGAAUAAAU
rnacentral:lncRNA from 1 species